CUUCGAUUAGAGCCUUGUAUCAAUAGAUAUUUCACCUCAUUUUGAAUUCAGAGUAUCUGAGAUGGCUUCAUCACUAUUUUUUACAUUACUUACUAUAAGUUCUAUCAGUUCUGUUCUUACGAUGACGUUGUGCUUCUACUGCACUUCUGAAAGAGAAUGUGAAUCGCCAAGAACUGUAUUGUGCCGCCAACCAUAUAAUUACUGCUUUUCAUUAGUAUUUCGAAAUGGUGAGCCUUUCAAAUCUUGCACCGGAAGUAAGCAUAAGUGUGAAAGUAAGAUGGAAGAUGGAGAACUUGAAUUUCCAGAGUGCGAAUUAUGCCAAACAGAUGAAUGUAAUACAAUGAAAUUCAAAAAAUCAUAGAAAGUCUACCUGCGUAUUCAUGAAAUAAAUAGUUAUAAUGAAAAUAUUUUA